rnacentral:rRNA from 1 species
UUAGAUACCCUAUUAUACUAGUAAUAAUCUAAAUUAUUAAUAGAUAGAGUCUUUAAAUUUGGAGAAUUUGGCGGUAAUUUAGUCUUGUCAGAGGAACCUGUUUUAAAAUAACCGAUACACCACGUAUAAUCUUACUUAUUUUAAUUAGUUUAUAUACCGUCAUUGUCAGAUAAUUUCUAAAGAAUUAAGAAUUAUUAAAGUUUAAAUAUAAUGUAAGUUAAAUUAGAUCAAGGUGUAGCUUAUAAAUAAGUUAAAAUGGGUUACAAUAAAAUUUAUUUAUUAUGGAAUAGUUAUAAGAGAAUAAUUAUUAUGAAGGAGGAUUUGAUUGUAAUGGUAUUUUAAUAAGUUCAAAAGAUAUAAGCUCUAAAUUAUGUACAUAUCGCCCG